CCAAACUUGGUCAUUUAGAGGAAGUAAAAGUCGUAACAAGGUUUCCGUAGGUGAACCUGCGGAAGGAUCAUUAACACUACUUGUAUGUAACAAUACAAAAAGUAUCACCCAAACGUGCUCUUUCUUUUUUUUACACACCUUUAACCCCUUUUUAAAAUUGUAACCAAUGACUGACAUUUGACAGAAGCUUGUGCUUUUGUUUAAUAUGUUUUUUCGAAAACUUAUUUACAAAUCUAAACACAACUCUUAACAAUGGAUAUCUUGGCUCUCGUACCGAUGAAGAACGCAGC
rnacentral:misc_RNA from 1 species